AUGGAUACAGGCCAGAAAGAGAGAUCAAGCGAGAAAUAUUUUCUGUCUUCUUCGCACUAUAGAGCCGCAUUAUAAUGCGGCACUUCACGGAACGUUCCAAGCUGCCAAAAUGUACGCUUCAUUUUCUUGGUUUAGAUUCGCGGUGUGAACGAAAAUUAUUGUGCGCGAAAAUCUUGUAAAAUAGAUAAUUUAAAGCAUCUGUUUAUUACGGUUUUAUUAUUGUUCUGGGGCAACACUUCAGUGAGCAGGGACUUUGGCGCGGAGCGUUCCGGUGCAUUACGGUAACAACGCGUCAGAUUGGCAACAGCGCGUCAUUUCGAUGCGACGUAAUUUUUUCAGAUGCCUUCCCAAGCCAACCAUUGCCUUUGACAUUGAAUGCCAACGAUGGAGCGGACAAUGCUGUGCGGACAAUGCUGUGCGGACAAUG